rnacentral:tRNA from 1 species
GGCCUCGUAGCUCAGCUGGUAGAGCAUGCGCGUACAAAGCGUAGGGAGGUGUCCAUGCAUGGGUUCGAAUCCCACCGAGACUA